rnacentral:rRNA from 1 species
AUUGAACGCUGGCGGCAGGCCUAACACAUGCAAGUCGAGCGGAUGAAGGGAGCUUGCUCCUGGAUUCAGCGGCGGACGGGUGAGUAAUGCCUAGGAAUCUGCCUGGUAGUGGGGGAUAACGUCCGGAAACGGGCGCUAAUACCGCAUACGUCCUGAGGGAGAAAGUGGGGGAUCUUCGGACCUCACGCUAUCAGAUGAGCCUAGGUCGGAUUAGCUAGUUGGUGGGGUAAAGGCCUACCAAGGCGACGAUCCGUAACUGGUCUGAGAGGAUGAUCAGUCACACUGGAACUGAGACACGGUCCAGACUCCUACGGGAGGCAGCAGUGGGGAAUAUUGGACAAUGGGCGAAAGCCUGAUCCAGCCAUGCCGCGUGUGUGAAGAAGGUCUUCGGAGUGUAAAGCACUUUAAGUUGGGAGGAAGGGCAGUAAGUUAAUACCUUGCUGUUUUGACGGUACCAAAAGAAUAAGCACCGGCUAACUUCGUG